rnacentral:lncRNA from 1 species
GUGGUUGUCUGGGUCUCGAUGUCCGUCAGUCUCCCUCUGAUCUCAUCUCAAAGCCUGGGGUCAAAGUGCAGAUGUUCUGCAGCCAUGACAGAACCGACUACAGGCUGAUGUACUGGUACCAGCGGUCUCCUGGAGACACAGCUAUGAAGCACAUUGGAUAUUUGUACUAUAAAGAGGUCACAAUGGAAGAGCCGUAUAAAGAUCAUUUCAGCAUGUCUGGAGAUUUGGGAGUAAAUACAGCAAAGAGUGGCUCUCUUAUAGUCACACUUACACCAGAGCACAGUGCAGUGUACUACUGCGCAGCAAGUGAAGCACGCUGACAGAAAUCCCUUCUGAACUUUACAAAAACUCUGCACCAUCUUUUCUCAUCAGUGGUUAAUAAUAAGACGUGCAACAAACCGCUCCCAGACACCUGCUGUUGUGCUUUGGUUUGAUGCAAUCAUAUCACGAAUAGCGAAUACAACGGUGUUUCUCUUUUACUGGUUUCAUCUAUUUUGACAGUUAUUAUUACAGUAAAAAUGUAAACAUCUCAUGAAAAAAGUUGGAAGCCACUCCUCCUUUCUACCUCAUGUUUACCACCUGAUUAAAGGCGACUCAGUUUACAACUUGAGUAACUCGUGCUCCAUGUCGGAUCUCCACAUGAUGAUGAGGUUUCUCUUUGGCUUCGUCCUCACAGCCGGUCUUUCUGUGGGGGUUCAGGUCCAGCAGUCUCCCUCGGACCUCAUCAGAGAGGCCGGGGAUGAAGUGCAGCUCGUCUGCACGCACGGACGACCCGACUACAGAGUGAUGCUGUGGUACCAGCAGCCACGCGAAGGCCACGCCAUGACACUUAUUGGUUAUGGAUAUGCGCAGUUCAGCGAUGAAAACAUGGAAGAGCCGUUUAGAAAGCAUUUCGGAUUAGCCGGAGAUUUGAGUGGAGACCAAGCAAAGAAUAGUUCGCUUUCCAUAAUCAAUCUAAAGGCACCUGAACACACCGCAACGUACUUUUAUGCAGCCAGUCAGGCACAGUGCAGCAAACAUCCAUCCGCUCUUGAGGAAAAC